UACGGAGGAGGCAAGCGUUAUCCGGAAUUAUUGGGCGUAAAGCGUCCGUAGGUGGCUCUCUCAAGUCUGCGGUCAAAGACCGGGGCUCAACCCUGGAAAGGCCGUGGAAACUGGUGAGCUAGAGUGCGGAAGAGGCGAGUGGAAUUCCUGGUGUAGCGGUGAAAUGCGCAGAUAUCAGGAGGAACACCAAUUGCGAAGGCAGCUCGCUGGGACGUUACUGACGCUGAGACGCGAAAGCGUGGGGAGCAAACAGG
rnacentral:rRNA from 1 species